AAAACAUCUUCUCUUGUUUAAUUAUUUGAGAUUUGACCUGCCCAAUGAUUUAUUUAAUGGCCGCGGUAUAUUGACCGUGCAAAGGUAGCAUAAUCAUUAGUUUAUUAAUUGUGGACUUGUAUGAAUGGUUAGACGAGAUUUUUUCUGUCUUCAUUUUUAUUUUUAUAAAAUUUAAAUUUUUAGUUAAAAUGCUUAAAUUUUUUUAUUGGACGAGAAGACCCUAUAGAUCUUUAUUAUUAUUUUUUUUAUUUUGAUUUAGUUGAUUUAUUUUAGUAUUUUUAUAAUUUUUUGGUUGGGGUGACAUUAAGAUAUAUUUAACUCUUUUUAUAAUUAUUCAUUUAUUUUUGUAUAAUUGACCUUUUAUUAAUGUUAUAAGAUUUAGAUACCUUAGGGAUAACAGCGUUAUUUAUUUUGAGAGUUCAUAUCGACAAAUUAGAUUGCGACCUCGAUGUUGGAUUAAGAUUACUUUUAAAAUUGGUGCAGUUGCUUAAAUAGUAGGUCUGUUCGACCUUUAAAUUCUUACA
rnacentral:rRNA from 1 species